CCUAACCACAUACAGCAUGUACGAGAAAUCCACCUUCUUACAUCGUAAGGUUCCGAUCGAUUUUUAAGUUGCGACUUAAAACCACGCACGUUACACAGAGCAGAUAUAAUGAAGGAGUUCACUGCUGUGCAUUGAAGCGAGGAUAUACCGGUAUUGAGCAGAUCCAGUUCAAUGAAAUGUUGCUGCACAGGAGUCGAGCUACCCUUGUUUUGGUCUUAUUCAUUUGGAAUGCAGAGCUGCAGAUGUGCCCAAAGUCUUUUACAGUGGAGGAAUCAAUAACCUGCAUGAUUGCCCGUCAGUGCACCAUGGUCAUCUACAAAACUUGUUCUAUUCCAAUGCAAAAACCCCAAUUGUUUUUGACUUUUUCCUUGAACAGUCACAGCAUCCCAGGAUCCACACGUUAUCACAGCACUGAAAGGAGGAACAGCGACUAUUGAUUGUUUACAUGGUUUAAGUAACACUGAAGGGAUGGCUGUCGCUUUACAAAGAAAUGCAACCUUGUGUUACAAAGUGAUUGGGAACUACAGUACUUGGGAAGAACAGUGUAAUGAACGCUUCAACAUGACAUGGAAUAACAAGACCAAUACUAUAUCUCUUAUAAUUAAAGCUCUUAUUUUAAAUGACUCUGAUAUUUACACCUGUAAAUUGGACAGAGUUAUACCUCCACCAACACAAUCUAUAACAGAAAACAAAACAGUUCUUCAAGUGACAGCCCGUCCGAACAUCAGGCUGGUUUAUGUGAACAGUUCCAAUGGAAGCACCCGGUUGGUUUGCACUUCGGAGGGCUUCAGCCCAAAGCACAUUGAGGUGUCCUGGUUUAAAGAUGGAGAACUGAUCAGCAACGACACUCAUGAGGAGAAUCUGACUUCUAAUGAUGACGGCUCCUUUACUCUUACAAGUUACUGCAGUGUGUCUGGAAGUGGAGAUUACACCUGUCAGGUCAACCAUUCCACGCUUCAAUCACCCCUCACUGCAAGUGUUACUGUAUCGGCACAUGAAGAUAACCAAGAACCUUCAAAUACUUUUCCAGAUUCGAUGUGGAUUUGGAAGAUCUUAAUCGCUCUUGGUUCAUGUGUGCUCUUGCUUGUGAUAUCACUUCUAAUUCUCACACGCUGUACAAAUAUAAAAGCUUUCUUUCAUCGUCCUGCUACUGAGCCAGCUGGUGAAAGGUCGACUCCUCUCCCAUCUCUUGACGUUAGAGAUGAUGAAAACUGUGUCUACUCACUGCUUGGUGAGCAUCCUGUCAACAGUGAAGUUGUCCGUGUGAAAACAUGAAACUCUGCUUUGCGUAGUUUGUCCAAGUUGCAGUUUUCUUGAACUUUUUCUUAGUAGCUAUUCAGGAAACCCACACAUUUACUUCAAGAGUCGAAUUUGUUCAAAAUAAAACAUGUACGAUUUUGCUGUGAAUUCACCAAAAGCCCAUAACGUUCAGUGGACUUAUAUGGAAAUGAAAAAGUCAGUGUAACAGCCAGCUGGAAAUGCUUGAAAUUGAUCAUUUCAUUCAGACUCAGCUGAAUACCUGACUUUAUCUGAAUGUUGGAAGCUUAAAUAAAGUUUAGAUCAAAUUGAAACCAAAAAAGAUCCCUGAAUCAAGUCUCCAACUGCCUCUAGCUACCCUGAGUGGAGCUGGUUGUUCUCAGGGUAUCGGAGGCUGCUUUGAAUGGAGCUGGCUGUUUUCAGGGAAUCAGAGGCUACUCUGAAUGGAGCUGGCUGUUCUCAGGGAAUCAGAGGCUGCUCUGAAUGGAGCUGGCUGUUCUCAGGGUAUCAGAGGCUGCUCUGAAUGGAGCUGGCUGUUUUCAGGGUAUCAGAGGCUGCUCUGAAUGGAGCUGGCUGUUCUCAGGGAAUCAGAGGCUGCUCUGAAUGGAGCUGGCUGUUCUCAGGGUAUCAGAGGCUGCUCUGAAUGGAGCUGGCUGUUCUCAGGGAAUCAGAGGCUGCUCUGAAUGGAGCUGGCUGUUCUCAGGGUAUCAGAGGCUGCUCUGAAUGGAGCUGGCUGUUCUCAGGGAAUCAGAGGCUGCUCUGAAUGGAGCAGCACAUAAUUAUUAUUAUUAUUAUUUAUUUCUUAGCAGACACCCUUAUCCAGGGUGACUUACAAUUGUUAUAAGAUAUCACAUUAUAUUUUACAUACAAUUACAUUAUUUUUUUACAUACAAUUACCCAUUUAUACAGUUGGGUUUUUACCGGAGCAAUCUAGGUAAAGUACCUUGCUCAAGGGUACAGCAGCAGUGUCCCCCAGCAGGAAUUGAACUCAUGACCUUCCAGUCAAGAGUCCAGAGCCCUAACCACUACUCCACACUGCCAAAAGCUUGGUUUUACUUGAAUGGGUCACAUGUAUAUUUUGUAUAAACUUCUGCUUUGUGAUUUUUCUUCUUCCUAAUUUUGUGUAAUCAUGUAAGCUGAAUUUAUGUACUCAUAUCUAAGUCAUAUAACACUAUUCACUGUGUAUUUAUACUAACCAGAUGUAUUCUUUACACAAUAAACUAUACAUGAAAAAAUAGUCUGACCUUCAGUGCCUCUUGCUUCAAGCUUUCUAUAAUCGAGGGAGGCAGUUUGGUAGAGAUUCGUUUCUAUAUGCAUUGGAUUUGUUUAUUAGAUGAU